rnacentral:misc_RNA from 1 species
GAAAUGCGAUACGUAAUGCGAAUUGCAGAACUCCGUGAAUCAUCAAAUCUUUGAACGCAUAUUGCGCCCGUUGGUAACCGACGGGCACACUUUUCUGAGUAUCUUUAUCCCAUCAAAUCGCCUACUUUGCCAAUUUAUUUUGAUAAAGUAUGGCGGAGUAUGAGAGUCACUAUGCCGUUAGCCAUAGUGUUUCUUUAAAGUCUAGACGGAAGGGCAAUCUAAUGAUCCAAUAUGAUGAGA